UCAUCGUCAUGUGCAAGUGAUGCUUCA
rnacentral:sRNA from 1 species